AAAGAUUUAGUUAAAUUAUAACAUUAGAAUGUCAAACUAAAAUUAUUAAAUUUUUAAUAUUCUUUA
rnacentral:tRNA from 2 species